rnacentral:tRNA from 1 species
GUCAGUGUGGCAUAGUGGUUUGAGUGUUGGCCUACAACUCUGGAGAUCAGGGUUGGAUUCCCAGCUCAGCCA